AUUGAACGCUGGCGGCAGGCUUAACACAUGCAAGUCGAGCGGAGAUGAGGUGCUUGCACCUUAUCUUAGCGGCGGACGGGUGAGUAAUGCUUAGGAAUCUGCCUAUUAGUGGGGGACAACAUUCCGAAAGGAAUGCUAAUACCGCAUACGCCCUACGGGGGAAAGCAGGGGAUCUUCGGACCUUGCGCUAAUAGAUGAGCCUAAGUCGGAUUAGCUAGUGGGUGGGGUAAGGGCCUACCAAGGCGACGAGCUGUAGCGGGUCUGAGAGGAUGAUCCUCCACACUGGGACUGAGACACGGCCCAGACUCCUACGGGGGGCAGCAGUGGGGAAUAUUGGACAAUGGGCGGAAGCCUGAUCCAGCCAUGCCGCGUGUGUGAAGAAGGCCGUUUGGUUGUAAAGCACUUUAAGCGAGGAGGAGGCUACCUGGAUUAAUACUCUAGGAUAGUGGACGUUACUCGCAGAAUAAGCACCGGCUAACUCUGUGCCAGCCGCCGCCGUAACAC
rnacentral:rRNA from 1 species